AUCCUCCUGUAGUUCCUGAGCGUGACGACGGGGUGUUCAUGCGCAUGUGAGAUGUGCCACCCUCAAACCUCAUUACGUCAGCACAUCACCCACUGACC
ensembl:snoRNA